UUCGACUUAGAGACAACUGGUUUAGACACAGAAUCCAGCAUAGUGGAACUUUCUUGUGUCUGCAAGGAUAACAUCUUUCACAGAGUGGUGUGUCAUCCUUAAGCUUGGUAAUGUAUGGUAUAUGAAUGUAAGUAUUACUUCUUUGCGCUGUGCACUGACUGGUAAUUACUGUUAAUAUAUUCUGUGUUGUGUCGUUGUUUUUACUACAGUGUAUAUGUGUGUCUGUGUCACUGUCCAUGUUGUGUGCUAUAUAAUUCUGCUUAAUCCUUCUCUCUUUCAU